UACGAAGGGUGCAAGCGUUACUCGGAAUUACUGGGAGUAAAGCGUGAGUAGGUGGUUUCUUAAGUCUGCUGUGAAAGCCCCGGGCUCAACCUGGGAAUUGCAGUGGAUACUGGGAAGCUAGAGUGCGGUAGAGGGUAGUGGAAUUCCCGGUGUAGCGGUGAAAUGCGUAGAGAUCGGGAGGAACACCAGUGGCGAAGGCGGCUACCUGGACCAGCACUGACACUGAGUCACGAAAGCGUGGGGAGCAAACAGG
rnacentral:rRNA from 1 species